GGGUCCAUAGCUCAGCGGUUAGAGCAUCCGGCUCAUAACCGGUUGGUCCCUGGUUCAAAUCCAGGUGGACCCA
rnacentral:tRNA from 1 species